rfam:Ailuropoda melanoleuca scaffold154_18, whole genome shotgun sequence.
GCCUGGCUGGCUCAGUCGGAAGAGCGUGCACCUCUUGAUCUCAGGGUUGUGAGUUCGAGCCUCAUGCUGGGUG